rnacentral:rRNA from 1 species
AUACAGAGGGUGCAAGCGUUAUUCGGAAUUACUGGGCGUAAAGCGCGCGUAGGCGGAUGAUUAAGUCAGUUGUGAAAGCCCUGGGCUCAACCUAGGAACUGCAUCUGAUACUGGUCGUCUCGAGUUUAAGAGAGGGAAGUGGAAUUCCAGGUGUAGCAGUGAAAUGCGUAGAUAUCUGGAGGAACAUCAGUGGCGAAGGCGACUUCCUGGCUUAAAACUGACGCUGAGGUGCGAAAGCGUGGGUAGCGAACGGGAUUAGAAACCCUAGUAGUCC